UACGUAGGGAGCGAGCGUUGUCCGGAUUCAUUGGGCGUAAAGAGCUCGUAGGCGGUUCGGUAAGUCGGGUGUGAAAUCUCCGUGCUCAACACGGAGCGGCCACCUGAUACUGCCGUGACUCGAGUCCGGUAGGGGAGUGUGGAAUUCCCGGUGUAGCGGUGAAAUGCGUAGAUAUCAAGUGGAACACCAGUGGCGAAGGCGAGUCUCUGGACCGUAACUGACGCCGAGGAGCGAAAGCGUGGGGAGCGAACAGG
rnacentral:rRNA from 1 species